CAGCUCAUUCAAACAGAAUCUAGAACAUUCCUGAGGUACCCCAGUGGUCUUGAUCACUUCAUGGUGACCAGGAAUGCUAAGAGGAUGUGAUAUGAAAUACUGAGGUAUACUGCAGCAGCGGCAGGAGUAAGAGGGUAGCUGGUGGGUCCAUGCCCAAGUGUCUUGAGAAAUCACGCCAUGCAACAGCGUGUCCCACCAUCCAUGUAGCCUACAAGAAAAGGGACAGGAUACCUGCCCAUACAGUCCUUUCAUUAGGAGCGUGUGCUGGCUAGUCUCAUCAACCUGACACCAGCUAGAAUCGUCUGGCUAGAGAGAACGUCAAUCAUCAAUCAAGAACGUGCCACAUGGGUUUGCAGAUAAGCUAAUCUGGAGGGGCCAUUUCCUCAAUUGUAAAUCCUUCUUCUCAGAUAACACUGGCUCAUGUCACGAUCACAAAAAAUAAAACCCAAUCAGGACAG
rnacentral:lncRNA from 1 species